rnacentral:rRNA from 1 species
AUUGAACGCUGGCGGCAGGCCUAACACAUGCGAGUCGAGCGGAUGAAGGGAGCUUGCUCCUCGAUUCAGCGGCGGACGGGUGAGUAAUGCCUAGGAAUCUGCCUGGUAGUGGGGGAUAACGUCCGGAAACGGGCGCUAAUACCGCAUACGUCCUGAGGGAGAAAGUGGGGGAUCUUCGGACCUCACGCUAUCAGAUGAGCCUAGGUCGGAUUAGCUAGUUGGUGGGGUAAAGGCCUACCAAGGCGACGAUCCGUAACUGGUCUGAGAGGAUGAUCAGUCACACUGGAACUGAGACACGGUCCAGACUCCUACGGGAGGCAGCAGUGGGGAAUAUUGGACAAUGGGCGAAAGCCUGAUCCAGCCAUGCCGCGUGUGUGAAGAAGGUCUUCGGAUUGUAAAGCACUUUAAGUUGGGAGGAAGGGCAGUAAGUUAAUACCUUGCUGUUUUGACGUUACCAACAGAAUAAGCACCGGCUAACUUCGUG